AGCAUUUCCGUCGCCCUUCUUUUAACCAGCAAACCCUCCACGGUGUUUUUAUUUUCACCUCCUCACCACACAAUCCCCUUCUCCGUCUUCCCGCGGAUUCUCAGGCCAGCUUCCGGUCGCUCCCCGCCUCCUCCGGCGAUUUGAGUUACCCGCGGCUUCUGAAAUCUUCUCCUGUUGCUGGAGAAAUGCGUGAGCAGCUUGCCGCAGCUUGAUGAGCGUUCAGCCAUGCCGACGCUACACGGACCCGUUCUGUUCGUCAGGCCCGGUGCUUACCAAGAGCUGAAACCGUUCCCGAAAAACGCCGCUGGUUCGUGUAGCAAUUUAUUGGGUUGCAACACAAUUUGUAGUUCCGUCGAAGACCAUCAUGUACAGAAACCACACAUUGUUUCCAGCUUCAGAGUUAACUUUACCAGAGUCAGCCAUUAUCUUCAGAGAAGCUUAAAUGAGAGAACUACACGGCACUGGCUGCAUCGGUUUCAUGUUAAUGCUUCAUCGGACGAGGACUUCCGCUCGUCGCGUAAUAUAGCAACCAGCCUGUUCAAGCAGUAUAAGAAUGUCAUUGAUCGAGGAGGUGGAGAUAACAUAAAAGGGUUUGUUAGUGCUGGGGUGCAAGCAUAUGCCCUAGGCUGUACAGAAGAGGGGCUUAGAAAGGAACUUAUGGAUAUAAAAAAUUCUGGUGUCAAGAUCGAAGGCCUGCAAUCCUAUGGAGGAACAAGCUUGAGCUUCAAAGUUCGUUCUUUUGAGGUAAAGGAGUGCAUCCUGUGGCUCAGUAUAGUGUUCAUUACAAUCUUGUGCACGCCACAGCCGACGGUCAUCAGGUGGUCUACCACCCCACCGGUGUCGGCGGAUGUCUUGCAUCAGUGGAAAGGAUUUUGUGCCCUGAUAGCAAACGCUUACUACACCAAGGGCAUGGCAUGGCUACCAGUGAAAACAUUGCAGCUGGAACAGAUGGCUGUGACAGGCAGUUCGGAGGAGCCAUCGCUAGUAGCAAGUCGGAUGCAGUUAGUUUUCAGUACAUUAGAGGUAGUCAGCCCCCAAUGGCCAAGAGUGUGAUGGAGGGAAGAGCAAGCAAUAUGAUCAUACAAAGGCCUGCAAGUCUACAGAACCCAUGCCACAUCCAAAGCCAGGGACGAUUCUUCUUUCUCUAAUGUGAAUGUACUGAAGAAACAGGUCUAUUGCACUGAAGAUUGUGAAAUAUUUGGUAAAUACAUGUAUAUAGAACCCACAGCUGCUGUAAAUCUUCGUCUUCAGCUACGAUAUAAUGGAACCGAACAUGUAUGUGACUGCUACACCUCUCUGGUUCGCACACUUUUUUGCCGUUUAGUUUGCUAGACAUGCGUCGAAUUCC
rnacentral:rRNA from 1 species